rnacentral:rRNA from 1 species
GAAGCAGAGUAAAACACGUCAUGCUUAGCACAUGCUUUCCUCGGCAUGGAAGAGGCGAAGAAGUUGUUGCCCACAAACUGUGAGCUGACGACCACCGGUGAGCAGGACCAACCGAAAGAGAAGGGCAGCGGCCGCAAGGACUGGAGCGACGAGGUCGAGGCUGAUGUCAGUAGGACGAACAGAUUAGUCGAAGCUCAUGCCUGCGAGGUGUUCGACUUCGAUCAGAUGUGCAGUUCCAUGGACAGUGAGUCUGGGAACAGUAACAAGAAGGGGAGAAAGAGCAAGGCGUGUGUGAUUGACCUGCACACACUGCUGAUCCACUCUGCCAAGGCGGUGGUGGAUGACCGCCGGAGGGCAGGCGAGUUGCUCAUGGAGAUCCAGCAGCACGCCUCACCCACUGGUGACGCCACACAGCGGCUUGCCUACUGGUUCGCUGAGGGGCUGGAGGCACGGCUCACCGGCACAGGCGCCAUGGCACACUCAGAGGCUUACCAAGUAUUCAUUUCAACGUGCUGCUUCAGGAAUGUAUCCUUGUCAGCCAACAGGGCCAUCUUCAAUGCAGCAAUGGGGAGGAGCAGGCUGCACAUCGUUGAUUAUGGCUUUUGUUAUGGAUUCCAGUGGUCAGAACUUCUGCGCUGGCUGGCAGCAAGGGAUGGUGGCUCACCAGAAGUCAGGAUCACCCACAUUGACCUCCCGCAGCCCGGACUCCGCCCAGGAAAACAUAUGGAGGAGAUCGGUAACGGGCUGACUGACAUUGCCCGAGAGCUUGUGCCAUUCAAGUACCGUGCCAUCUUGGCAGAGUGGCAGACCGUUUGCAUCGAGGACCUGGACCUGGAACCGGAUGAGGUGCUUGCUGUGAAUGACCUGUACAAUUUCAGGACCUUAAUGGAUGAGUGUGUCGUCAUAGGCAGCCCGAACCCCCGCGAUAUUGUCCUCAGCAACAUCAGCAAGAUGAAACCGGACGUGUUUGUCCAAAGCACCGUGAAUGGCUCCCAUGGCACCUUCUUCUUGUCACGGUUCCGAGAGGCCCUCUUCUUUUACUCUGACCUGUUUGACAUGCUUGAUGCAACCAUGCCACGGGAGAGCAAACUGCGGCUGGCGCUGGAGUGCGAUGUCUUUGGGUGGGUUGUCCUGAAUGCCAUCGCGCAUGAGGGAAAGGACUGGGUGGAGCGUGGUGAGACCUAUAAGCAUUGGCAAGUCAGAAACAAACGGGCAGGCCUGAGGCAGCUGCCACUGGACAGCGAACCUGUUAAGAUGGCUAGGGACAUGGUAAAGAAUGAAUACCACAAGGACUUUGUCAUCGACGAGGAUCACCAAUGGCUGCUGCAGGGUGUGGAAGGAUCGCAUCCUCUUGGCUCACUCAAGUGA